rnacentral:tRNA from 1 species
GGAGGGAUGGCCGAGCGGACGAAGGCGGCAGUCUCGAAAACUGUUGGGCCUCAUUAGGGGUCCCGUGGGUUCGAAUCCCACUCCCUCCG